ACCCGCUGUCCACCUGCACCCACCCUACGCUCGCCUUUCGCCCCAACGCCCCCUUUCCAUCCCCUCGUCGGAGAUCUGCCACUGCCAUGAUUUAUUUCCGCCCGAAGCUCGCCCCUACCCCAAGCCUACUCCUCUACAAAGCCCCCCCCUACCGCAACUGUUCCCCCUUGUUCCGCCUUCCGUCGGCCACCCCCGCGCCCCAAAUUGCUCGCCGGCACAUGCUCUGCCAUCGCAUGCCAUCACCCACUCUGCCGCUGUUGGCCAUUACCGACCGCCGCAGUCACCACCUUCGUCUUUGUUGUCGCCAUUCGUGUCGUCGGGAGCCAGCCAACGCCACCGGAGAGCAUCGGAGCACCCACCCUGUCGACCACCACCACCUACCUCGUCAGAGAAGCACACCGUCGCCGCUAGGAUUUUUUUUGACUAGGAGUGAGGCUACGAUCAAUGCUCGGUGAUUGCCCUAUGUAGUCGGAUGGACUUUCUUAUCGUCUACACUUCCGCAUUUAGUUUUUCUCAUGAGUUGGCCUUUGGUCAAAUUUAUUAUGAUGUAAACAAGACUCUAUAUGAGAAUCGUGUAAUAAAUCAGGUGCAAUAAAACGUUGAAAUUUUCAUCAA